rnacentral:rRNA from 1 species
AGAGUUUGAUCCUGGCUCAGGAUGAACGCUGGCGGCGUGCCUAAUACAUGCAAGUCGAGCGAACAGAUAAGGAGCUUGCUCCUUUGAAGUUAGCGGCGGACGGGUGAGUAACACGUGGGUAACCUACCUAUAAGACUGGGAUAACUUCGGGAAACCGGAGCUAAUACCGGAUAACAUUUAGAACCGCAUGGUUCUAAAGUGAAAGAUGGUUUUGCUAUCACUUAUAGAUGGACCCGCGCCGUAUUAGCUAGUUGGUAAGGUAACGGCUUACCAAGGCGACGAUACGUAGCCGACCUGAGAGGGUGAUCGGCCACACUGGAACUGAGACACGGUUCAGACUCCUACGGGAGGCAGCAGUAGGGAAUCUUCCGCAAUGGGCGAAAGCCUGACGGAGCAACGCCGCGUGAGUGAUGAAGGGUUUCGGCUCGUAAAACUCUGUUAUUAGGGAAGAACAAAUGUGUAAGUAACUGUGCACAUCUUGACGGUACCUAAUCAGAAAGCCACGGCUAACUACGUG